UCCCGUCCGCAUUUGCUCAUGCCCUCGGAGCUGCCGGUGUGCCACAGAACUCCCUGCGAGGCGCUGGGGCCGCCCUCGAGUGCGGUCUUGUUUGUGGUGGGCUAAGAGCAAAGGAUGCAUCUUGGCCAAGCCUGGAAAUAAAGACAGUUCCUCAAGCCUUUGAGUCUGUAGCCUGAGAGACUGAGUUGGUGAUCUGCGUCUGACAACAUGCGUAAGAAAACCCAGUCCAUGCUGCAAAAGGCUGUGAACAGAGGCCCAGUGGUUGCUCCUAAGAAUAUUGAUUUAUUUCAGUGGUCAGAGACAUGAAAGCUACUUUAGAGCAAAAGUCCCCAGAAGUUUCUCUUGCAGCAAAGACCAAGCCUACAACCUGGAAAGUUAAAAAUAAAGAAGGUAAAGUCAAAGUUUAUUUCAGAGUUGUCAUAGCGUCUUAUGUGUAGAUUUUGCUUAUGUGUAGCUUCCACAGGCAUAACAAAAUAUUGUUACAAUUUGUACCAGAAUGCAUAAUAAGUUUUUCUAGCUUCACAGGGUUCCAGAAGGAAGCCAUUAGACCUUCUAGUCAGGAUCAUAAACCCAAGGCAGUAGGAGAAUUAUUUUGUAUAUGAGCCUAGCCUGACGUGCAAGUAGGACCUAUUCUUACUGUUUACCCUGAAGAGAUACCUUCUGUAAGUAGGGAUUAAGGUGAUGUGGAACAUGCAUCAGCAUAGCACUUCAUUUCCCGAAAAAAUAAUAAUAUUGGAGAAUACAGUUCCUCUGCAUGCCCUUUUUUUUGCCUUAGCAUACUGCUAGUAUUGCAUUUACUUACUUGCUUGUGUGUGGGAAGAAAUUCCCUGCAGGCAGGGAAAGAAAAUCAAGCUAUUUGUGCCCUAUCUCAUUCUGCGUCUAUAGCCUGAUCCAGCCAGCGCAUGGCUCUCUAAUAACUUCCUCACUAACAAGGUGAGAUCUAAUUUUCCUUUGCCUCUCAAAAUACCAAUCUAGCAGGCAGGAGCUGACCUAUGUUAUUUCUUCAAAUUCCUAUAUACAAGAUACAGUUAAGCUAAGUGAGCCUUUGCUUACAGAAUCCUAAAAGCUUUAAUGGGUUCAAAAGGCAAUGGGCAUAUUUACAGAAGAGAAGUAGAUCAACAGGUACUAAAUGCAAGACAGUGUCUCUGGCUCAUAAAGCCCCUGAGCCACAAAACCGUUGGUGUCUGGGAGUACAUUCUGCAGAAGCAGUGGAAUGUGCUUCCCUGUUCCGACACUCUUCCUUAGUGCUCUGUUCUUUGGCCACUGGAUAGAGACAGGGUGCUGAGCUGGGUGGGCUUUUGGUCUGACCAAGUUCUUGUUUUUAUUUUCUUUCUGGUCUAGUGAAUAAUAAAAAUGAGUAAACUUAGCAUUAUAAACUUUAAAAAUUACAUAAAAUCACUUCAUAUUUAAUUACAUAAAAUCCCUGACCAAAGAGGCUGUAUUUGUGAACUGUAAGAGAAUACAAAUUAGAGGUGAGAGAGUAAAGCCUUAUUAGUCAAUAUUAUUGAUGAUACUACCAUUGUAACUAAGUUUGUAAUGUGAUACUGCAUGUGUCAUCAAAGAAAGCAAUACUGCUGGCAUUUAUUUUUGCUGUGAGGACUGAGACAGAUGCAUCUAUCAUUAUUUGGGGGAUAUUUUAUCUAUAGAAAUCUACAGCUGGCCUUUUCUGUCAAAUGUAAACCUCAGACUUUUAAAGGGAACAUUUUAGCUUCAUUUUUGCUGUAAUCACUAUUUAGGAUCCCCACUGACUGGUAAAUUAAUUCCUAGAAACAGUGCAGGGGAAAACCUUUUAUUCUUUGGGUGUUCCUUGGAUAAAAUUUUCCUCCCCUAAAUAUAGGGUGAGUUUAAGGCAGAGGACUUCUGUCUUAAUCUUUGCUGGAUGGACUGUAAAGGCUAUUGCAUUUAAAGAGGUACAUGCUAUUCCCCUGGUUUCUGCUGAGAGGAAGAGAGGAGACAAAGAAACCUCUAAUAGGUUAUUUUUGUACAUUCAUAACUAUAGCCAAUCAUUAGUCCAUGGUGUUACCCCAUUUAUCCGAGAAGUUUAACAAAGGCUAAAGUAGGUCAGGACACGUGAGCUUGUAUGUGACUGCCAGAGAAGGCUCUGUAGAUAGAUGAAGAUGCGUGGCCAACAGAAGCCCCACAAUUUUUCUGUGUGCAGGACCACCUUGAUAGGUCUUGUUCGACUAGCUGUCAUCUUUAUUCCAACAUCAACACAUAAGUUUCUGACCACAUCCCCCUUUCAAAGACAGCAGAGAUCAUUCUUUGCACACUGAUCACUCAUGAUUUAGUCUGGUCAGUGGGCAGUUAGCGUAGGCUAACUCAUCUGUAUGAUAAAGAUUUGUAACCACAUUAGGCAUCCUGUCUCUAUCUAGGGGCCUCACAGACAUCUUGAAGAUCACUGUUAGUUCUUCUUGACUCUUCAGCCUGUAAGGAAACUGCAAUUAAAAUGUGAUUUCUAAUCUAGGUGGACUCCUAAUCCAGUGCCUUUUCUGAUUUCAGUAUUUACCAGGAUGUUCUUAAAGCUGGUGAUGUAACCCCUAGAAACCUAAUUUAAGGUCAACACCCAUACCAGGUCAAGACCUUAAUUUGAGUUGGGUGACUCAUUCUGCCAGCCCUCCUAAGCUUUGUUUCAUAGCCAACAAGAAAACUUUAAUCCAUUUGCUUAAUGGUCUCUGCAAGAGCUAACUGCAAUCCUGACUCUGGAACUACACAACUGGAUCUAAUCUGCUAUCUUGCUUCCACCUCUGUGUGAAAAGUAAUCACUGCUCCAGGCUGAAACAAGACAACUCUUAGCCCACCAAUACUUUUCUAAGUUUACUCUGUUUACCCAUGCUGAUAGCUCACAGGUAACCAACUUCCUUCCUGCUGUCACAAACUUCCAUAGCCACCAGACUGACAUUUGAUUACUGGUUAGUCAUGAACCUGGGACACAUGGAGAAAGCUAGCUCUUAAGUGUUGCUAGCAACCUCCUUCUCUACUGAUCAAGGCUCAUUUGCACAGUGUCAGACUAGAAGUUCUGGAACAUGCUCAUCAUACUUGUCCCUCCAGUAUGAGCAAAAGUGCUCAUGCAUUCUCAAAUGAGCAGGUUUCUGCAGCGCAUGAGAAAAUCACUGCUGUAGUAGUCACCUUCUGUUUCAGACUGGCUUUGCACAGCUCUUUUAUGUUACCUCUCUCCAAUGUUCAUGUUCUUUUAAGUUCAAAGGCCUGGUAUCUCUGAGCAACUGCUGUAUGUCGUAUACAGCCUCAGCUAGAAGGACUUGCACAAAAUUGAACAGGGAGGUGGCACACAUACGAACUUGCAUGCUAAUGAGACAAUAGAUUAAAAUACCUUUAGAGAGGGGAAAAAGGAGAACAUGGGAAAUGGCAGACCUACUGGCUUCAUGACAGAUUAAAUAAUGAAAAAGGUUUGGAUUAAUCAAGAAAAUUAUAGAUCAAAAUAUAAUGAAUCUGUCAGCUAGGUUUAGUGGGGAUAAUAGGUCUUUUGAACCUGUUGCUGCUUCAGAUAAGAUUAAAAGUCUGCCUGAGAAAGGCAACUGUGUUUGUUCAAUCCUAUUUAUUAGUUUUACAGGUGAUCUAAGCAAUAUUACAGACUUUGUGUGGUAAAGUUUUCAGAUUCUGUGCCUUUACAUACAAGUUUAACAAUGUAAAAAAUAUUUAUGAAUUAUUAACAGUAAAUACUAUGGCAUGAGCCAAAUAAUUGUGAUUAUGAUGACCAUUUAAAAAGUCAGAUCUGUUCAAGUAACAGUUUGGCUUUGUGUUUUGAAUCGUUUCUACCUGAAAAGGAAAUAUUAAACAAAAUGAGUGUGUAAAAAUUGCUUCUUGGCUUCUGUUGGCCAAAGGGGCAGAAGUUAUGCAGUGGACUGUGCUAUAUCACUUACGGAGAGUGCAGGUCCUGAUAGCUGCCAUUUCACUGACUGGUCAUCGAGUUUUGAAUAGUCUCCAGAACAGAAGAAGUUAAACCAAUGCAGAAAAAAAUGCACAGGAAAAGUAAUGCAUAUAAGAGAAAUACUUCUACAGAAAUGUAAGCUUGAUGUGUGGUAAAUACUUCAGUUGCAAUACAGUCUACUCUGCGGAAGUAAAUUGUCCAUUACACAAGGUAGCAAUGCUAAAAAACUUUAUAUACUGUUUGUGUGCUUCACUGAACACCCAGUAGUGUUGAUACAUGUGUAGCAACUUGGUGAUUAUUCUGUUGAAGCUUCUCAAAUAGCAUUUUCGUUACUGUCUGAAAGCCCCAUAGCGAAUAGCACAAUUAAACCCCAAAUGGACCAGAAAGUUAACUUUAAAAGGACCAGACCUGAGCUCCACCCCAAUCUAAGUGCUGUUUGGAACUUGCCCUAAACUCAUAUGUCUGGAAUAAAUAUAGAAAGCUGUUUAAAUGUUAAUCAUUAAUAAAUCAUCAAGCCAAUAGUAGUCAUGUCUUUUAAAAAUAAUUGUCAGCCUAAUUCUUCCCUUCAUUUAAUUUUGCCACACCUGUAAGAGCUAUGCUGUUACUGACAAAGCUUGUAUUUCUACUUGGUUUUUAUGCUUGCUGCUAGACUGGUGAGCCCAGAUUAUACAAUGCAGACGUUUUUAUAAUCUAAAUAAAUCUUCCUGCCAAAAACCUAUAUGUACUCUUGCAGUUUCUACAUAAAGUUGUAGCAGCAAAAGUAGUAUGACAGCAUGGGCUUUACCCAACCACCAUUAAAAUGAUGACAAAACUGUUGACUGCUUAAAUACAUGCAUUCAUGUUAACA